CCAGUUGUAGCCGAUGUUCCACAGCAGGGGGCCCAGGACAGACCUCUGCGGAACGCCGCGCUCGACGGA
rnacentral:pre_miRNA from 1 species